GACGAACGCUGGCGGCGUGCUUAACACAUGCAAGUCGAACGGAAAGGCCCCUUUGGGGGUACUCGAGUGGCGAACGGGUGAGUAACACGUGAGUAACCUGCCCUUGACUUCGGGAUAACUUCAGGAAACUGGGGCUAAUACCGGAUAGGAAUCCUUGCUGCAUGGUGGGGGUUGGAAAGCUUCGGCGGUUUUGGAUGGACUCGCGGCUUAUCAGCUUGUUGGUGGGGUAGUGGCUUACCAAGGCUUUGACGGGUAGCCGGCCUGAGAGGGCGACCGGCCACAUUGGGACUGAGAUACGGCCCAGACUCCUACGGGAGGCGGCAGUGGGGAAUAUUGCACAAUGGGCGGAAGCCUGAUGCAGCAACGCCGCGUGCGGGAUGACGGCCUUCGGGUUGUAAACCGCUUUCAGCAGGGGCGAAGCUUGUGGUGACGGUACCUGCAGAAGAAGCAUCGGCUAACUACGUG
rnacentral:rRNA from 1 species